rnacentral:rRNA from 1 species
AGAGUUUGAUCAUGGCUCAGAGCGAACGCUGGCGGCAGGCUUAACACAUGCAAGUCGAGCGGGCGUAGCAAUACGUCAGCGGCAGACGGGUGAGUAACGCGUGGGAACGUACCUUUUGGUUCGGAACAACACAGGGAAACUUGUGCUAAUACCGGAUAAGCCCUUACGGGGAAAGAUUUAUCGCCGAAAGAUCGGCCCGCGUCUGAUUAGCUAGUUGGUGAGGUAAUGGCUCACCAAGGCGACGAUCAGUAGCUGGUCUGAGAGGAUGAUCAGCCACAUUGGGACUGAGACACGGCCCAAACUCCUACGGGAGGCAGCAGUGGGGAAUAUUGGACAAUGGGCGCAAGCCUGAUCCAGCCAUGCCGCGUGAGUGAUGAAGGCCCUAGGGUUGUAAAGCUCUUUUGUGCGGGAAGAUAAUGACGGUACCGCAAGAAUAAGCCCCGGCUAACUUCGUGCCAGCAGCCGCGGUAAUAC